rnacentral:rRNA from 1 species
UUGCUCAAUGGGAGAAAUCCUGAAGCAGCAACGCCGCGUGGAGGAUGAAGGGUCUAUGACUUGUAAACUCCUGUAAAGAAGGAAAAAAUUCCCAUUAGAUGGGAGAUGAUGGUACUUCUGGAGUAAGCCCCGGCUAACUACGUGCCAGCAGCCGCGGUAAUACGUAGGGGGCAAGCGUUGUCCGGAUUUACUGGGUGUAAAGGGUGCUCAGGCGGAUUUGUAAGUCAGAGGUGAAAUCUUACAGCUUAACUGUGAAACUGCCUUUGAUACUGCAAGCCUAGAGUAUGGAAGAGAGUGAUGGAAUAUCUGGUGUAGCAGUGAAAUGCGUAGAUAUCAGAUAGAACACCAAUGGCGAAGGCAGUCACUUGGUCCAUUACUGACGCUAAAGCACGAAAGCGUGGGUAGCAAACA